CAUUUGUAGAAAUCUAUAAAGCUGUGACAUAUUAACAAUACGUCAUAAUUAUUUGAUAUUUGAUUUCAAGAGUAGAGAACUGUUCGCGGUUGUAAAAGUCAAUAAAUAUCAAUUUUCAAAUUUAUAUGUCGAGGCAAACUAUACAAUUACAAGACCGCAUGGUGCCGUGUGCGCGAAAGCUAGAAUGUAAAUAUAAUAGAAAACUGAUAGACUUUAGCUUUGUGGUUUCGUUAUACGAAGAGAAAAUAAAUGCUUAUUAAAAGCAAAAAGCCAAAGAUAUUUACGAUACCGUUUACAGGGCAAUGCUUAAACAAUACUAGAAAUUUCAUUAUCUUAAACCGGCUACUGCCAAAGAUGAGAGUGUAUUGAUUUAAUUUGCUGUUCUCAGCGUUGCUGUGGAAAAUUUUUGACUUUAUUAAAAAAUAGAAAAACUACAACGUCGCCGUUCCCUGCGCGCGUAUAUUAUAAAGAAUAGAACAACGUAUGCUACAGUAGACUCGCAAGCGUAGUGUAUCGUAUGCAGCCAUUAUUGCUUCUAUUGCUUUUGUUGUAAUAUCUGUCUGCACGAAAGGAUAUUGUAUUUAACCGCUCUCAAACAACCCGCUCGGCAAUAUUACAUUAUGCGUUAAAAUGCGCCUUAUGUAACUGCAUAAGCUUAGCGAAUGUUAAAAUCGACAUAAGGCAACAAUUG